rnacentral:rRNA from 1 species
UACGUAGGGGGCAAGCGUUGUCCGGAAUUAUUGGGCGUAAAGAGCGUGUAGGCGGUCCGGUAAGUCAGCUGUGAAAGUCAAGGGCUCAACCCUUGAAUGCCGGUUGAUACUGUCGGGCUAGAGUCCGGAAGAGGCGAGUGGAAUUCCCGGUGUAGCGGUGAAAUGCGCAGAUAUCGGGAGGAACACCAAUGGCGAAGGCAGCUCGCUAGGACGGUACUGACGCUGAGACGCGAAAGCGUGGGGAGCAAACAGG